ensembl:lncRNA
CAAAUUCUCCUCCACCGAAUACUCAACCUUUUAGGUAUUUCCUUACAUUCUUCUCCCCAUUCAAAUGAAGUUUCCCAUCGCCUUGUGUUAUUUUUUUUUAGACGGCUCUGUAAAUGUGUCAGCCAGUGGGUCUCUCUAGCGCUUGUGCCAUGUGAGGUGAACUCCCGCCCCCUUGCAUGUAAAUUUUGUCUGACAUGUGAAGCUGCCACUGCCUUUUAUGGUGAGCACCGUAUUUCAGUACAGUACAAACUUGCCAACCAUUCCGGGUCGCGGGAGGAGGACGUGUGUGUGUGUGAGUGAGGGAAAGAGAGUGAGAGAGAGCGGGUGGCUCUCUGUGUCUGUAGGAGUGUAUGUGCGCGCGUGUUAGUGUUUGCAUGUGUGUGUCAUAAAGUGGGAGUAACUCGCAGAUAGGAGGAAAGUCUAACCAAAAAAGAAAAAAAACCGGGGAGAACGAGAAAGAAACGUGGAGGGCGCUGAGAAAUGGAAGAUUUUCCACUGUGCGGAAAGUUUAAAGUUUUAACCGGACUAAACCUUUUACAGCGGGAGGUUGCUCCGCAGUGCCUCCUGUAACAUCCCCGUGAAAUGCUUUGCCGGGCCAAAACAAAGUCGUUUCUCAGGCAGCCUUAUCUCCAGGAGGAAGUGCCUUCCCUGACGUCUGCUGCAGCUUUGACCUGCUUCUACAGCCGAAGCUAAGCCUGCCCCGCCCCGCCACCCACCCACC